CAGCCGCCGCGGUAAUACGAAGGGUGCAAGCGUUAAUCGGAAUUACUGGGCGUAAAGCGUGCGCAGGCGGUCCGCUAAGACAGAUGUGAAAUCCCCGGGCUUAACCUGGGAACUGCAUUUGUGACUGGCGGGCUAGAGUAUGGCAGAGGGGGGUAGAAUUCCACGUGUAGCAGUGAAAUGCGUAGAGAUGUGGAGGAAUACCGAUGGCGAAGGCAGCCCCCUGGGCCAAUACUGACGCUCAUGCACGAAAGCGUGGGGAGCAAACAGGAUUAGAUACCCCUGUAGUCCCUGUCUCUUAUAA
rnacentral:rRNA from 1 species